rnacentral:rRNA from 1 species
UACCCAAUCCUGACACAGGGAGGUAGUGACAAUAAAUAACAAUACCGGGCGUUUUUACGUCUGGUAAUUGGAAUGAGAACAAUCUAAAUCCCUUAUCGAGGAUCAAUUGGAGGGCAAGUCUGGUGCCAGCAGCCGCGGUAAUUCCAGCUCCAAUAGCGUAUAUUUAAGUUGUUGCGGUUAAAAAGCUCGUAGUUGGAUUUCGGGCGUGGAGGUUCGGUCCGCCGCUUCGGUGUGCACUGUCUUUCUGCGUCUUUCUGUCGGGGACGCGCUUCUGGCCUUAAUUGGCUGGGACGUGGAUUCGACGAGGUUACUUUGAAAAAAUUAGAGUGUUCAAAGCAAGCUAAAGCUCUGAAUACAUUAGCAUGGAAUAACGCGAGAGGACUCGGUCCUUAUUUUGUUGGUCUUCAAGGAUGGAGUAAUGAUUAAGAGGGACAGUUGGGGGCAUUCGUAUUUCAUUGCUAGAGGUGAAAUUCUUGGAUUUAUGAAAGACGAACUUCUGCGAAAGCAUUUGCCAAGGAUGUUUUCAUUGAUCAAGAACGAAAGUUGGGGGCUCGAAGAUGAUCAGAUACCAUCCUAGUCUCAACCAUAAACGAUGCCGACUAGGGAUUGGCAGGUGUUACAUCGAUGACUCUGCCAGCACCUUAUGAGAAAUCAAAGUUUUUGGGUUCCGGGGGGAGUAUGGUCGCAAGGCUGAAACUUAAAGGAAUUGACGGAAGGGCACCACCAGGAGUGGAGCCUGCG